rnacentral:rRNA from 1 species
GUGGGGAAUAUUGCACAAUGGAGGAAACUCUGAUGCAGCGACGCCGCGUGAGUGAAGAAGUAUUUCGGUAUGUAAAGCUCUAUCAGCAGGGAAGACAGUGACGGUACCUGACUAAGAAGCUCCGGCUAAAUACGUGCCAGCAGCCGCGGUAAUACGUAUGGAGCAAGCGUUAUCCGGAUUUACUGGGUGUAAAGGGAGUGUAGGUGGCAGCACAAGUCAGAAGUGAAUGCCCGGGGCUAAAGCCCGGGACUGCUUUUGAAACUGUGCAGCUAGAGUGCAGGAGAGGUGAGUGGAAUUCCUAGUGUAGCGGUGAAAUGCGUAGAUAUUAGGAGGAACACCAGUGGCGAAGGCGGCUCACUGGACUGUAACUGACACUGAGGCUCGAAAGCGUGGGGAGCAAACAGGAUUAGAAACCCGAGUAGUCC